ensembl:lncRNA
UGUUGUGAGUUUUUUGUAAUUUCUUUGCCUUUUUUGGAAAAAAAAUGCCCCAAAAAAACAACAAUCUUUUUUUUUCUUCUCUCAUUUCUUCUUUUCUUGUAUCUUUCCACCCAACCUGCUCUGCCUCGCUCUACCAUUUCAGCUGUGUCUUUCACUCAUGUUCAGGUUUACUGCCCCAGUUUUGUGCCAGGUCACUGUCAGUUGUUAGCUGACUUUCUUUGGAUUCGCCCCAGGUUUUGUGCCACUCCAGCCUCUGUCAGUUGCCAGCCAACUUUCUUUGUUUGUUUUCAUUCUUUGUCUUAUGCCAUCCAGGUCACUGUCAGUUGCUGGCUGAUUUCCCUUGGUUUCGCCCCAGGUAUUGUGCCGUCCAGGCCACUGUUGGGUCAACCCAACAUGCUGAGGUUCUUGGAUGCUUCAUUGAGAUGAUCGACAUCACUGGGAUGCAUAAAAUGUACAUUAUGUACAUUAAAUAUAUUUAUGAUCAAGCAAAUCUGCAUUCACCUCAUGAGGUUUCUGUUAUUCUGCUUUUGAUGUUCAUUCAAUGAUUCAACUCUCAAAAAGACAUUGACUGUACUCCACCCUGUGGUGUAAUGAUGUAAUGAUGUAAUGAUCAGGAGGUCAAUGUGUUACAUUUAUAUUGUGCUUUUCUGGCUACUCAGAGUGCAUUGUAUUUACAUGGAAGGGGGGAAUCUCCCCAACCAUGACUCGUUUAUGACUCAUUGAACGAAUCUGAACAAAAGUGAACAUAAGAAAAAGAUUCAAGUAAAAUGAUUCAUAAUCAACACCACUAAUAUAGAUUUUAUAGAUGUGAACCCAAAAAAAAAAACAAACCUUUGUGUGUGUAAGCACAUUGGCCAAUAAAGCUCUUUUUGACUGAAUAAUUUUUGUGAAA